GGAGAGUGUUUGAGGAGGGAUCUGCGGCCCAUCAGCUAGUUGGUGAGGUAACGGCUCACCAAGGCGAAGACGGGUAGGGGGUGUGAGAGCAUGGCCCCCCACAAUGGGACUGAGACACGGCCCAUACUCCUACGGGAGGCAGCAGCGGGGAAUAUUGCGCAAUGGACGGAAGUCAGACGCAGCGACGCCGCGUGGGUGAGGAAGGCCUUCGGGUUGUAAAGCCCUUUUCAGGGGAGCGAGAAAGGACGGUACCCUUGGAAUAAGCGUCGGCUAACUACGUGCCAGCAGCCGCGGUAAGACGUAGGACGCAAGCGUUAUCCGGAUUUACUGGGCGUAAAGCGCCUGUAGGCGGUCAAGUAAGUCGGAUGUGAAAGCCCCGUGCUCAACGCGGGGAAGCCAUUCGAUACUGCGUGACUAGAGAACGGCAGAGGGAAACGGAAUUUCUGGUGUAGCGGUAAAAUGCGCAGAGAUCAGAAAGAACACCGAUGGCGAAGGCAGUUUCCUAGGCCGCAUCUGACGCUGAGAGGCGAAAGCUAGGGGAGCAAACAGGAUUAGAGACCCUGGUAGUCCUAGCUGUAAGCGAUGGAUGCUAGGUGUGGGCCGGAAAGGUCCGUGCCGUAGUUAACGCGAUAAGCAUCCCGCCUGGGGAGUACGGCCGCAAGGCUAAAACUCAAACGAAUUGACGGGGACCCGCACAAGCAGCGGAGCGUGUGGUUUAAUUCGAUGCUACACGCAGAACCUUACCUGGGCUUGACAUGUAGGUGGUAGUGAAGUGAAGGCGGAGCGACCCUUCGGGGAGCCUACACAGGUGCUGCAUGGCUGUCGUCAGCUCGUGCCGUGAGGUGUCGGGUUAAGUCCCGUAACGAGCGCAACCCUUGUCCUUAGUUACAAGUGUCUAAGGAGACUGCCGGUGACAAACCGGAGGAAGGUGGGGAUGACGUCAAGUCAGCAUGGCCCUUAUGUCCAGGGCGACACACACGCUACAAUGGUCGGUACAAUGGGCAGCGCAGCCGCGAGGUGAAGCGAAUCCCAACAAAGCCGAUCCCAGUUCGGAUUGCAGGCUGCAACCCGCCUGCAUGAAGCCGGAGUUGCUAGUAACCGCGCGUCAGCCAUAGUGCGGUGAUACGUUCCCGGGUCUUGUACA
rnacentral:rRNA from 1 species